rnacentral:rRNA from 1 species
GACAGAGGGUGCAAACGUUGUUCGGAAUUACUGGGCGUAAAGCGCGUGUAGGCUGCUCGGAAAGUCGGAUGUGAAAGCCCUGGGCUCAACCUAGGAAGUGCAUUCGAAACUUCCGAGCUGGAGUUCUGGAGAGGAAGGCGGAAUUCUCGGUGUAGAGGUGAAAUUCGUAGAUAUCGAGAGGAACACCAGUGGCGAAGGCGGCGACCUGGGCCGAUACUGACGCUGAGGAGCGAAAGCGUGGGGAGCAAACAGG